GACGAACGCUGGCGGCGUGCUUAACACAUGCAAGUCGAACGAGAAUCUGCGGAAAGAGGAUUCGUCCAAUAGAAGCAGAGGACAGUGGCGGACGGGUGAGUAACGCGUGAGGAACCUGCCUUUCAGAGGGGGACAACAGUUGGAAACGACUGCUAAUACCGCAUGACACAUUGAGGUCGCAUGGCCUUAAUGUCAAAGAUUUAUCGCUGAAAGAUGGCCUCGCGUCUGAUUAGCUAGUUGGUGAGGUAACGGCCCACCAAGGCGACGAUCAGUAGCCGGACUGAGAGGUUGAACGGCCACAUUGGGACUGAGAUACGGCCCAGACUCCUACGGGAGGCAGCAGUGGGGAAUAUUGGGCAAUGGGCGCAAGCCUGACCCAGCAACGCCGCGUGAAGGAAGAAGGCUUUCGGUUGUAAACUCUUUUGUCAGGGACGAGUAGAAGACGGUACCUGACGAAUAAGCCACGGCUAACUACGUGCCAG
rnacentral:rRNA from 1 species